rnacentral:rRNA from 1 species
UACGAAGGUGGCAAGCGUUGUUCGGAUUCACUGGGCGUACAGGGAGCGUAGGCGGUUGGGUAAGCCCUCCGUGAAAUCUCCGGGCCUAACCCGGAAAGUGCAGAGGGGACUGCUCAGCUAGAGGAUGGGAGAGGAGCGCGGAAUUCCCGGUGUAGCGGUGAAAUGCGUAGAGAUCGGGAGGAAGGCCGGUGGCGAAGGCGGCGCUCUGGAACAUUUCUGACGCUGAGGCUCGAAAGCGUGGGGAGCAAACAGGAUUAGAUACCCUGGUAGUCCACGCCUUAAACUAUGGAUACUAAGUGUCGGCGGUUUACCGCCGGUGCCGCAGCUAACGCAAUAAGUAUCCCGCCUGGGAAGUACGGCCGCAAGGUUGAAACUUAAAUGAAUUGACGG